ACACUCCUACGGGAGGCAGCAGUGGGGAAUUUUGGACAAUGGGCGAAAGCCUGAUCCAGCAAUGCCGCGUGUGUGAAGAAGGCCUUCGGGUUGUAAAGCACUUUUGUCCGGAAAGAAAUCCUUGGCUCUAAUACAGUCGGGGGAUGACGGUACCGGAAGAAUAAGCACCGGCUAACUACGUGCCAGCAGCCGCGGUAAUACGUAGGGUGCGAGCGUUAAUCGGAAUUACUGGGCGUAAAGCGUGCGCAGGCGGUUUGCUAAGACCGAUGUGAAAUCCCCGGGCUCAACCUGGGAACUGCAUUGGUGACUGGCAGGCUAGAGUAUGGCAGAGGGGGGUAGAAUUCCACGUGUAGCAGUGAAAUGCGUAGAGAUGUGGAGGAAUACCGAUGGCGAAGGCAGCCCCCUGGGCCAAUACUGACGCUCAUGCACGAAAGCGUGGGGAGCAAACAGGAUUAGAUACCCUGUAGUCCCAUGA
rnacentral:rRNA from 1 species